AUGUGUAUGAACAACAAUAGCAACAAAAAACCCACUGUGAUCUGCUGGGUUACAAAUUAAUGACCUUUCCUCUUAUAUUUCCAGGAGAUGCCAUUAAAUGUAAGAUGAAAAUCACUGCACUCAGAAAUGGAAACUAAGACCUCGAUAAAUUGAUGCAAGCAUUCAAAAUGACUCUCAAAUGGGCAGUGCUGAAAAUUGAUCUGGUUCCUUGUCAAUUGCAUCAUUCAGAGAUGACAUCAGCAGCAAGGCUGCAGUAAAUGUUGGGCAUGUGGCCCUUCCCAUCCAUAAAUAAUAUCACACACUGCAAAAUUAUAAUCAUCUCUAGGCCUGCAACUUGAACCUUGAAACCUAAUUAAGGAACUUUUUACCAACUUCAUCAAUAAGGUCUGGAUCAGAUUCCAUAAAAACACACAGCAAUAAAUGCUGAUAAAACA